AUUCCAUAACAUUCAUAUACCACAGUUUACCCAACCAUUCUCCAAUUGAUGGGCAUCCACUCAAUUUCCAGUUUCUGGCCACUACAAAAAGAGCUGCCACAAAAAUUUUUGCACAUGUGGGUCCCUUUUCCUUCUUUAAGAUCUGUUUGGGAUAUAAGCCCAGUAGAAACACUGCUGGGUCAAAGGGUAUGCAGUUUGAUAACUUUUUGAGCAUAGUUCCAAAUUGCUCUCCAGAAUGGUUGGAUCCAUUCACAGCUUCACCAACAAUGUAUCAGUGUCCCAGUUUUCCUGCAUCCCCUCCAACAUUGGUCAUUAUACUUUUUUGUCAUCUUAGCCAAUCUGACAGGUGUGUAGUGGUAUCUCAGAGUUGUCUUAAUUUGCAUUUCUCUGAUCAAUAAUGACUUGGAGCAUCUUUUCAUAUGGCUAGAAAUAGUUUCCGAAAAAUGUCUGUUCAUAUCCUUUGACCAUUUAUCAAUUGGAGAAUGGCUUGAUUUCUUAUAAAUUAGAGUCAGUUCUCUAUAUAAUUUGGAAAUAAGGCAAGAGACUUUCAUUCUAAGGGAGAACCUGGAGCUAACUUUGUUCAGUGGCAUAAAAAAGCAUAAAAGCAAAGCACAAAAGCAUAGACUGGGAAGAUGUGUGCACUUUAAAGUUGAGAUUCUAGGGCCAGAAACAUCCUGCAGAGAAUCUCUGUCCACUACAUUUCCUUCAGGGAGUCCAGAGCCAUCAAUGUUAAUAAUACUAAUGAACUGAGAGAAGAGCUCAGUAAUGGACAAAAAUGUUCAAUGCCAAUGCUGCAGGACCUCUUUUUCUAUUUUUAUUAGCAUGAUCAAAAUGCCAUCUGGCGUUCUUUGGGUCUCAUUCCAUUUAAAUUUAUUGGAAGUCCUGGGCUAAUAUUUUGUCUUGUACAUUACUCAUAAACUCCUUCAACAAAACUUUCAUUUUAAUCUACAGAUUAUUGGUUUUUUUAAAGUUUGUGUUUAAUUAGCUUUUAAAAAUAGUACCUCCUUUGUCAAAUCAUCUUUAUUUGGCAAAAUGAUGUAUCUAUAUUUAUAUCCAUAUCUACAUUUAUAUCUAUAUCUAUACCCAUAUCCCAUAUUUAUAUCCAUAUAUAUAUAUAUAUAUAUAUACAUCCAUAUUUAUAUUGGUCAGUGGCUUAUCAAUAUCAAUAAUUUAUAAUUAGUCUCAAUGAAAAUCUGGCGAAUCAAUAAUCCCCCAUUUAAUACAGGAGGGAACUGUUAAUGCCAAAAGGGGAAGUGAUCUGUUAAAGGUCAUGGAGUUACUUGGAGAAGGAGCCAGGUCUAGUACCUUUAUGAAUCUUCUCUGAAUGAAUUACUAGCACAACCCUGGAAAAUAGAUGUUGAAGUAACAAGUUAUUAAGCACCUAUGGCACAUGCCUACUAAGAGGCAAUUAGGUGGCACUGGGUCUGGAGUCAGGAAAACUUGAACUCAAAUCCAGUCUCAGAUCUUCACUAGCUAGAAAGUCACGUUUGCUUUAAUUUAUUGGAGAAGGAAAUGGCAACCUACUCUAACAUCCUUCCCAAGAAACUGCAAAUGUGGUCCCAAAGAGUCAGAUAUGACUGAGCAACAAUAAUGCGCAAGGAACUGUGUUACUUAAGAUUAUACAUUCUUAUACAUGUUUGGCACAUAUAUCUAUGGGUAAGUUUUAAUACUUAUAGUCAGUGUAUGUUUGCUGAGUAAAAAUGCAAGAAUCAGCAAAAAAAAAAGAUAAUUCAUGUAUAACUGGAACAUGAAGUCAUGUAUUAAAAGUGAAAUAUAGCUUGAAUGCUGCAGUAGUAUCCCUGAAAGUUUUUUUUUUUUAAAUGCUUUAUUUGUGGUCUUUUUUUCUUUAAAUAUUGUCAUUUCCCAACAAUAUCAUCUUCCCCAAUACAAUCUUCACUUGUAACAAAGAUGUACAAUUAAGCAAAAUAAAUCCAUUCAUUGGCCAUGUCUGGCAAUGUAGAACUCAUGUACCCAUGGUUCACUGUUUUCUGUUGUGAAGUAGACCCUUCUCUGCUCUGGAUCCUUUUUAAGUCACAACUGGUAACCAAAUUGUUCAGAGUUCUGAAGACCUUUGUUCUCCAUUAAAUUUUUUUCUAUUGUGAACUUAACAGUUACCAACAAGCACAUACAUCUCAAUAUACAAAGAUCAAUAAAAAGGGGAGGAUUAUAUCCAAGACUACAAACUUCUGUUAUAUAAUUAAAAAAAAAUGUAUGCUACAUUAGACAGGAGCAAUCACAUUGCCCUUAGAACAUUCUGUUCCUCCAAUGUUUCUUUCACAUGAUUGAGGCCAUUACUCAAAUUGUUUCCCUUUUAUUACUACUUCUCCCUGCAUUAGCUCAUGCUGGUUUUUUAAAGUUUCUCUAAAUUCUUCCUGGCCAUUUCUUCCAGUGCAAUAAUAUUGCAAUUUGUUAAUUCAAUUGAAAGACAACUACUUUUUUCUUUUCUCAAUUCCUUGCUACUACAACUAUAAUUUUUGCUUCUAUGGGAAACUUCCCUUUGCCUUUAAAUUUUUUUUUAAGGCUGAUCUAUCUUGCCCAAGCGCUUGAGAAGUGCAGCUAGAUGGUACAGCAGAUUGAACUCUGGACUUGGAGUCAGGAAGAUCCAAUUUCAACUCUGACCUCUGACACUUUCUAGAUGUAUAUAUGACCCUGUGCAAGUCACUUGUUCAAUUGUGUCUGACUCUUCAAUAGCCGAUUUGGAGUUUUUUGGGCAAAGGUUCUGGAGUGGUUUGCCAUUUCCUGCUUCAGCUCAUUUUACAGAUGAGGAAACUAAAGCAAACAAAACUUCUGUGGUUUGGCAGGGUCAGCAGCUAGUGUCUAUGGUCACAUUUGAAUUAAGGUCCUCUUGACAAGCCUUCCAUACAUACCAGCAUAUAAACCUUGUAUAUUUGUUUUUUUCAGGCAGGGGUAAAUUGGAACUCACUUGAAUUAGCUCCCAAGAGCCAAUUAGUAAAUUUUCAGUAUUUCAUCUUGAAAAUCAGCAAAUCAUCAGGA
ensembl:lncRNA